AUUGAACGCUGGCGGCAGGCCUAACACAUGCAAGUCGAGCGAGCGGCGGACGGGUGAGAAAUGUCUGGGAAACUGGCUGAUGGGGGGGGAUAACUGCUGGAAACGGUAGCUACUCACACAUACCAUCAGAUGUGCCCAGAUGGGAUUAGCUAGUGGGUGGGGUAACGGCUCACCUAGGCGACGAUCCCUAGCUGGUCUGAGAGGAUGACCAGCCACACUGGAACUGAGACACGGUCCAGACUCCUACGGGAGGCAGCAGUGGGGAAUAUUGCACAAUGGGCGCAAGCCUGAUGCAGCCAUGCCGCGUGUGUGAAGAAGGUCUUCGGGUUGUAAAGCACUUUCAGUGGGGAGGCGUUACCGGCAGAAGAAGCACCGGCUAACUCCGUGCCAGCAGCCGCGGUAAUUC
rnacentral:rRNA from 1 species